ACUUGUGGAUAGCUCAGUUGGUUAGAGCAUGAUGCUGAUAAUGCCAAGGUCGCAGGUUCAAUUCCCUUCAGGGA